CCUACGGGGGGCUGCAGUGGGGAAUAUUGCACAAUGGGCGCAAGCCUGAUGCAGCCAUGCCGCGUGUGUGAAGAAGGCCUUCGGGUUGUAAAGCACUUUCAGCGGGGAGGAAGGCGGUGAGGUUAAUAACCUCAUCGAUUGACGUUACCCGCAGAAGAAGCACCGGCUAACUCCGUGCCAGCAGCCGCGGUAAUACGGAGGGUGCAAGCGUUAAUCGGAAUUACUGGGCGUAAAGCGCACGCAGGCGGUCUGUCAAGUCGGAUGUGAACUCCCCGGGCUCAACCUGGGAACUGCAUUCGAAACUGGCAGGCUAGAGUCUUGUAGAGGGGGGUAGAAUUCCAGGUGUAGCGGUGAAAUGCGUAGAGAUCUGGAGGAAUACCGGUGGCGAAGGCGGCCCCCUGGACAAAGACUGACGCUCAGGUGCGAAAGCGUGGGGAGCAAACAGGAUUAGAUACCCGAGUAGUC
rnacentral:rRNA from 1 species